GCGCGGGUGGCGGAAUGGUCUACGCGCCGGGCUUAGGACCCGGUGGCCCGAAGGGGCCUUGUGGGUUCGAGUCCCACCCCGCGCA
rnacentral:tRNA from 1 species